rnacentral:rRNA from 1 species
GAGUUUGAUCAUGGCUCAGGAUGAACGCUAGCGGGAGGCCUAACACAUGCAAGCCGAGCGGUAUUUGUUCUUCGGAACAGAGAGAGCGGCGUACGGGUGCGGAACACGUGUGCAACCUGCCUUUAUCAGGGAGAUAGCCUUUCGAAAGGAAGAUUAAUAUCCCAUAAUAUUUAGACUGGCAUCAGUAUAAAUUGAAAGCUCCGGCGGAUAGAGAUGGGCACGCGCAAGAUUAGAUAGUUGGCGGGGUAACGGCCUACCAAGUCAAUGAUCUUUAGGGGGCCUGAGAGGGUGAUCCCCCACACUGGUACUGAGACACGGACCAGACUCCUACGGGAGGCAGCAGUGAGGAAUAUUGGACAAUGGGUGCAAGCCUGAUCCAGCCAUCCCGCGUGAAGGACUAAGGCCCUAUGGGUUGUAAACUUCUUUUAUACUGGGAUAAACCUACUUACGUGUAAGUAGCUGAAGGUACAGUAUGAAUAAGCACCGGCUAACUCCGUGCCAGCAGCCGCGGUAAUACGGAGGGUGCAAGCGUUAUCCGGAUUUAUUGGGUUUAAAGGGUCCGUAGGCGGAUUCGUAAGUCAGUGGUGAAAUCUCAUAGCUUAACUAUGAAACUGCCAUUGAUACUGCGAGUCUUGAGUGAGAUUGAGGUAGCUGGAAUAAGUAGUGUAGCGGUGAAAUGCAUAGAUAUUACUUAGAACACCAAUUGCGAAGGCAGGUUACCAAGUCUUAACUGACGCUGAGGGACGAAAGCGUGGGGAGCGAACAGGAUUAGAUACCCUGGUAGUCCACGCCGUAAACGAUGCUAACUCGUUUUUGGGUCUUCGGAUUCAGAGACUAAGCGAAAGUGAUAAGUUAGCCACCUGGGGAGUACGUUCGCAAGAAUGAAACUCAAAGGAAUUGACGGGGGCCCGCACAAGCGGUGGAGCAUGUGGCUUAAUUCGAUGAUACGCGAGGAACCUUACCAAGACUUAAAUGGGAAAUGACAGAUUUAGAAAUAGAUCCUUCUUCGGACAUUUUUCAAGGUGCUGCAUGGUUGUCGUCAGCUCGUGCCGUGAGGUGUUAGGUUAAGUCCUGCAACGAGCGCAACCCCUGUCACUAGUUGCUAACAUUCAGUUGAGGACUCUAGUGAGACUGCCUACGCAAGUAGAGAGGAAGGUGGGGAUGACGUCAAAUCAUCACGGCCCUUACGUCUUGGGCCACACACGUGCUACAAUGGCCAGUACAGAGGGCAGCUACCAGGUGACUGGAUGCGAAUCUCGAAAGCUGGUCUCAGUUCGGAUUGGAGUCUGCAACUCGACUCUAUGAAGCUGGAAUCGCUAGUAAUCGCGCAUCAGCCAUGGCGCGGUGAAUACGUUCCCGGGCCUUGUACACACCGCCCGUCAAGCCAUGGAAGUCUGGGGUACCUGAAGUCGGUGACCGUAACAGGAGCUGCCUAGGGUAAAACAGGUAACUAGGGCUAAGUCGUAACAAGGUAACCGU